GGGUCUAGCUCAGUGGCAGAGUAUGUGCUUAGCAUGCACAAGGCCCUGGGCUCGACCCCCAGAACCUA
rnacentral:tRNA from 1 species